UAAGGAUGCUGCAUACCCAUGUCUCUUCUCACUAAUAGAACUGAGCUCCCAGUCAGCCUCUUCCACCUGACCCAGUGACCAUGAGGCGUGACCACAGGUGCCUGCUCUCUGGACAUCAGAACCAGACAUGGAAACGAGUCUUCAUGCAGAGUACGGAAUUUGGAACCAGAAGUAAUUCUAGAUGAACGCUGGUGACAAGAAAGUCUGGGGAAGAGACAACUCUAAGAGACAACAUGGCAUCAUGGAAGGAGCAAUAAGGACCCGGUACUGACUGCUAUUCAGUUGUAAAUAUCCCCUUCCUGCUGAUCUACUGGAGGACAGAGAGAGAGCCAUUGAUGUAUAUUAUGCUAAACAUCCCCUGGAAUCCAACUGCAGGAAGAGAGGACAAUGCAGACUGAUCCCUGCCUCACUCCUGCUUUUUGGAAGUUUGAGAUUCCAAACUCUGUACUAUGGUUUUGCCCUCUGGAUCCUGCCUGUUUCUGCCUGCAUUCUCUGAACUUGAUCUCCAGGCUUUAAUCCCGACUAAGCUUUGGAAACGUCCUUGCUUGCCAUUAGAUAGAGCAGGAGAGUGGCCCAAGAUUCAGGACUCAGCCCACCAGGAUUCCCCAGAAUACAAGUCCUACUUAGGUUUCCAGUGGAUCAAACCAGAAAGAUGAGAGCCCUUUCUCUGGAGAUUUCUGAGACUCUUUGACUUCUAAGUGAAGUGAAGUAACAAAUUCCUACAAAUGGAGUAUGAGUGCAAGGAAUGUGUCAAUUACAGGAUGAGCGGAGAAGAAGCAAGUGUGCUGUUCCUCCGUUCUCUUCCUCUGUCAACUGGAUGCAAAGAACUCAGGCUCAAAGCCUGCUAGUGCUAUGAGAUAGAAGAGGUUGGAUCCUUGAAUCACUGCAUGGAAAGCCAGUUAUCUACUGAUCAGGAAUGCCUGACCUGGUGGGUUGUUAGCAACUAAUAAACUUUUAUUGUGUUGACCCAUGGAGAUUUUGGAAUUUUGUUAAAUCAGUUCAUGCUUCUGUAACUAAUAUAAAAAGUAAUAAAAUUACCUCAGUG
rnacentral:lncRNA from 1 species